CAUAAAAUAUUGAGGGAGGUAGAGAGAGAAAGAACUAGAGAAAAGGGUUUCGGUAGAAGAAGAGCUUGGAGAGGAAGAAGAGGCUAGAGAUUAAAGGAGAAAAAGUGAAUCCAAGGCUAAGAUUGUGCUUAGUUGAGCCUACACACAUGUGCAAUGUAGAAAAAACGCUGAUUGUCCAAAAUAUUUGUGUAUGCUCCCACUAAAACCGAAGUGCAAAGAAACUUUCUGGUGUACGUGCAUAGAAAAAGAGCGGCUAUGAUGAACAUGGAUUUUUGUUCAGCCUUGGAUUUUUGAUGUUCAAUCUAUCUAUCUAUAUCUAUAUCUAUCAAUGUAUUUUAUUUUUUUACAAUAAAAAAUCGAAUAUAUUACGACCAAAUGAGACUCCUUAAAAGCACAAGUUGCGCGAGAAAGGAGCUCAAAAGUUUACAUAUAUACAACCGAUCAAGUAGUAAGGAAACAACAACAAAACAAAUUAGUCAAUGCUCAUACAAACAAACAGGUGACCACUGAUGACAGAUCAUCUUACGAUAUUCUUACGAUGUUUUUCAGUUAAUUUCAGUAGGUUUUAGCAGCAAAAAGGAUGAGUAGUAGAACAAUUGCUUAUGAUUUCGGGACUUUUGUAAUGUUUUCUAUAUUUGAGUAUACAAUUCUAGUUUUCCCAAAGCAUAGCAAUUUUAGGAGGUUUUUGAAGUAAUUCACAAAGAAAUCAUGCAAAUUGGAAAGACCAAGAAUGAAGAUACAAGAGGCCUCAGGAGACUUUACAGUGGGAGGAAUUUUGUUCCCAAGUUCUGAGGCAAGUUAUUUGAAGACGAAGACCUAAAAACAACGAAAAUCGGAGAAACUGGGACAAAGGAGCAUAACCAUGCACCUUGGGAACAUGGGAUGCGCCUUGGGCAUGGCAAAAACAUGCCAUGCGCCCGAGCAUUUGAAAUACGAAGGGCGCAUGCGUAAUUUUAUGCUUUUUUGUGGGUAAAGCCCGCGUUUUUAGCCCAAACUCAGUCAGAAACUCUCACUAUAAAUACUAGCCUUCCUCAUUUAUAAUUUUUCGUUCAGAACUGUGGCAGUUCAAGAGGAAGGUGUAACACCCCGUUUUCCCAACUUAAAAAUUUCACAUAUAAAUCAGUGUAUUUCAACAUAAACGGAAUGUCACACUUCUUU